rnacentral:tRNA from 1 species
GGAGAGAUGGCCGAGUGGUCGAAGGCGCUCCCCUGCUAAGGGAGUAUGUGGCUAAAACCACAUCGAGGGUUCGAAUCCCUCUCUCUCCGCCA